rnacentral:rRNA from 1 species
AACGAACGCUGGCGGCAGGCUUAACACAUGCAAGUCGAGCGCCCCGCAAGGGGAGCGGCAGACGAGUGAGUAACGCGUGGGAAUCUACCCAUCACUACGGAACAACUCCGGGAAACUGGAGCUAAUACCGUAUACGUCCUUCGGGAGAAAGAUUUAUCGGUGAUGGAUGAGCCCGCGUUGGAUUAGCUAGUUGGUGGGGUAAUGGCCUACCAAGGCGACGAUCCAUAGCUGGUCUGAGAGGAUGAUCAGCCACACUGGGACUGAGACACGGCCCAGACUCCUACGGGAGGCAGCAGUGGGGAAUAUUGGACAAUGGGCGAAAGCCUGAUCCAGCCAUGCCGCGUGAGUGAUGAAGGCCCUAGGAUUGUAAAGCUCUUUCACCGGUGAAGAUAAUGACGGUAACCGGAGAAGAAGCCCCGGCUAACUUCGUGCCAGCCGCCGCAGUAACAC